UACGUAGGUGGCAAGCGUUGUUCGGAAUUAUUGGGCGUAAAGGGCGCGUAGGCGGUUUGUUAAGUCAGCUGUGAAAGCCCGGGCUCAACCCCGGAGGGUCGAGCUGAUACUGGCAGGCUAGAGUACAGAAGAGGAACUGGAAUUCCCGGUGUAGCCGGUGAAAUGCGUAGAUAUCGGGAGGAACACCUGAGGCGAAGGCGGGUUACUGGGCUGAUACUGACGCUGAUGCGCGAAAGCCCAGGGGAGCAAACGGG
rnacentral:rRNA from 1 species